UCUCCUCCCAGCGGGGUACUUAAUGCGUUAGCUGCGUCACGGAAACCGUGGAAUGGUCCCCACAAAAGUUCCCAACGUUUACGGGGUGGACUACCAGGGUAUCUAAGCCUGUUUGCUCCCCACCCUUUCGCUCCUCAGCGUCAGUUACGGCCCAGAGAUCUGCCUUCGCCAUCGGUGUUCCUCCUGAUAUCUGCGCAUUCCACCGCUACACCAGGAAUUCCAAUCUCCCCUACCGCACUCUAGUCUGCCCGUACCCACUGCAGACCCGAGGUUGAGCCUCGGGAUUUCACAGCAGACGCGACAAACCGCCUACGAGCUCUUUACGCCCAAUAAUUCCGGAUAACGCUUGCGCCCUACGUAUUACCGCGGCUGCUGGCACGUAGUUAGCCGGCGCUUUUUCUGCAGGUACCGUCACUUUCGCUUCUUCCCUGCUAAAAGAGGUUUACAACCCGAAGGCCGUCAUCCCUCACGCGGCGUUGCUGCAUCAGGCUUCCGCCCAUUGUGCAAUAUUCCCCACUGCUGCCUCCCGUAGGAGUCUGGGCCGUGUCUCAGUCCCAGUGUGGCCGGUCACCCUCUCAGGCCGGCUACCCGUCGACGCCUUGGUGAGCCAUUACCUCACCAACAAGCUGAUAGGCCGCGAGCCCAUCCCAGACCGAAAAAUCUUUCCAAACACGACCAUGCGAUCACGUCUCAUAUCCAGUAUUAGACGCCGUUUCCAGCGCUUAUCCCAGAGUCCAGGGCAGGUUGCUCACGUGUUACUCACCCGUUCGCCACUGAUCCACCAAGCAAGCUUGGCUUCACCGUUCGACUUGCAUGUGUUAAGCACGCCGCCAGCGUUCAUCUGA
rnacentral:rRNA from 1 species